rfam:Solanum lycopersicum cultivar Heinz 1706 chromosome 9, whole genome shotgun sequence.
UGCAAGCGAUGGAUGACACUUUCCAUAAAGUAGCUACCCAGAAAGCAAAGCAGGUUAGGCAGACAUGCGAUAGUACAAGCAAGCUAACAUGCGGACGAGUUUGAAGGCCCACUGGUUGUGAACUUCUUUUCCCUUAGAAAAAACAAUGGCGGUAACUGGGGAAUAAGCAUUGACCAAUUCUGUGCUAACAACCACGAUAACACAGAGGAUACAAGCGUUAUCAAGAAUGAUUGGGCGUACAAUGUAUGACUUUUUAAGUUUGCUUUGGAUUUCUAGGGCUCAACCCUGGAUAGCCGGUGGAAACUAUCAAGCUGGAAUACGGUAGGGGCAGAGGAAAAUUUUGAUAGAGCGUUGAAAUGCGUAGAGAUUGGAAAGAACACCAACUUUGAUGGGCCGAUAUUUGAUACUAAGAGACGAAAGGUAGGGGAAUAAAUAAGAUUAGAUAUCUCAGUAGUCCUAGCCGUAAACAAUAUAUACUAGACAAUGUACGUAUUGAUCUGUACAGUGAUAUAUCUAACGCGUUAAGUAUGCCUGAGGAGUAUGUUCGCAAGAAUGAAAUUCAAAGAAAUCGACGGGGACCCAUUCAGGCGAUGAAGUCGAUGGUAGAAUUGAGUAAUGACUUACCUUGAUAAUAGAUGAGCCCUAGUAGGUAGAAAAUCACCUCUCAC